rnacentral:sRNA from 1 species
AUUUGCUGUGGGCAAAUGAAAUGGAUAUGGCUGUCAAAUCCGCCUGCAGUUAGGAUUUUCCCCUCACCUGCGAUAAUUUCUGUACCCGGCCCAAUGAUAAUAUCGACCCCCGGCUGGGUAUCUGGAUUGCCGGCCUUACCGAUCGCUGCAAUGCGACCAUCACGCAAGGCCACAUCGGCCUUGUAGAUGCCUGUGUAAUCCAAGAUCAGCGCAUUGGUGACGACAGUAUCGGCCGCCCCCUCUGCGCGGGUCACUUGGGAUUGGCCCAUCCCAUCGCG